AGAAAAAGCACCAAAACCAGAACCGAUCGCUAAAGCCGAGGAAGUGAAAGAAAAAGAAGCAGAGAAACCUGUGGCAAAGGCUGAAAAAGAAGCUGAACCCGAUAAAGUAAAGAAAAGAGCUAAAAGAGUCACCCUUGAGCACAAGAAAGCAGAGACUAAGAGAAGGGAACCCCUGCUUAAACAGAGAAAAGAAAAAGAGGCUGCAAGAG